CAGAGGCACCAUCUCCUGCCAUCCGUGGUAUCUGCUGAAAAUUCCAGCCCAAUCAGCCAGCCUUUUCUCAGAGAUGAAGAUCUUUUGCCUUCUCUUUCUUCUCCUUGCCUUGGCAAUCCUUCCUGAUCCAGGACUCGGACAGAGAAGGAGAUGCCGUAGAUGGUGCUGGAGGGGAAGACGCAUCUGGUGUUGUCGACGGGGUCUGAUUGACCUUGCCCCAAUGGGAAUGGAUGUCCCCCUGGAGGAAAAUCCCAUGUUUUUCCAAGGAAAACCCAAAUUCCUUCCAUAAAGGAUCGCCUCCAGCAAUGGCAAGCAAGAUGUGACUUCUCUGGACUGGAGGACACCUCCCAGCUUUCCACAUCCUGCUGAUCCUGCUUCCACACCUGCUCAACUCUUCCUGCUUGCUCAGACAGCCACGUUGCUCCACAGCAACACGGCACCCCUUCCCAAACUCUGCUUAUGU